GAUAAUCGAACCGCCUGCCCGUCUGCAUGCACGGAAGCCCGUUGCUUUAGUUCUUGGAAGGAGCGUGUUUUGGAUCCGAGACUGAAGGCAUCAUCUGUCGCCUCUGCAAACUAGUUUGUUCGCACACCUGACUUCACUAUGCAUCACUUCAGAGAGGACGGAGAGGCGACGUCCCCAGAGGCAGAUUUUACCUGCAUUUAAGCUCCGCGUGGUCUCCCAGCCCCGCCAGCCAGAGUAACAGCCUUUGAAGCAUGGUUUCCUGGAGGUCUUUCCAUUUUAUUGCCUACACAAGGCCCCUGCGAGUGCUCCUGCCCCUGGCACUGGGCUGAAAGGCUGGUGGGAGCUGGCUGUGCCCUGCGGUGCACCGUGCCACAUCAAUUUAUACCGGCCGUGGGGCUGGCACUCAGAGCAGACAUUACCAGCUACUCUGGAGCGAGGCAUAAAAGAUUCAUAAUGUAUGUAACCACGCACUGCGGUAACACAUGUGGAUGGCAGAAAAUAUUUCUUCAAGACCUUCCUACUCAGCAAG